UAACACGUGAGUGACCUGCCUUUUAGACUGGAACAACUUACCGAAAGGUGAGCUAAUGCCGGAUGAGUUAUAUAAGUGCAUGUUUAUAUAGGAAAAGUUGGGGAGACCUGACGCUGAAAGAUGGACUCGCGUCCCAUUAGCUAGUUGGUAGGGUAAUGGCCUACCAAGGCGACGAUGGGUAGCCGGCCUGAGAGGGUGGCCGGCCACACUGGGACUGAGACACGGCCCAGACUCCUACGGGAGGCAGCAGUGGGGAAUUUUGCGCAAUGCUCGUAAGAGUGACGCAGCGACGCCGCGUGAAUGACGAAGGCCUUCGGGUCGUAAAGUCCUUUCGACAGGGAAGAAAAUGCCUAUAAGUAACUGUGUAUGUAUUGACGGUACCUGUAUAAGCAGCCCCGGCUAACUCCGUGCCAGCAGCCGCGGUAAUACGGAGGGGGCGAGCGUUGUUCGGAGUGACUGGGCGUAAAGAGCACGUAGGCGGUGUUGUAAGUCAUUAGUCAAAGACUAGAGCUCAACUUUAGUAAGGCUAGUGAUACUAUAAUACUAGAGUAUCANAGAGGAUUGCAGAAUUCCUGGUGUAGCGGUGAAAUGCGUAGAUAUCAGGAGGAAUACCGUUAGCGAAGGCGGNAAUCUGGCUGGAAACUGACGCUGAGGUGCGAAAGCGUGNGUAGCAAACAGGAUUAGAUACCCUGNUANUCCACGCUGUAAACGAUGGGAUGCUAGGUGU
rnacentral:rRNA from 1 species